ensembl:misc_RNA Y_RNA Y RNA
GGCUGGUCCAAAGGUAGUGAGUUACCUCACUUGAUUGUUCACAAGUAACAGAUUGAAUUCCUUGUUCUAUUCUUCCCCCUUCUUGCUACUGUACUUGAGUAUUCUUUU